rnacentral:lncRNA from 1 species
CUUUAGACUGCUUAGGAUUAGCACAGUAAUUUUGUAGUUUGCAUUUUCUUCCUCUUUUAGAGGACCGAUGUCCUAUUGAGAAUAAAUCCUCAAGUGUGCCAAAAGAUUUGUUCAACAUUUGAAGUAUCUCCUUUGGCUGAGCAUCAUCAAAUUUAUAACUAAAUUUGUUACUUAUAGUAGCUCUCAUUAUGCAACGUACUGUCAUACCAUCAUUGAGCCAC